GCCAUCGUGGCGCAAUGGUAGCGCAUCACCUUCCUAAGAAGGCACGAGGUGGGGGUUGCGGGUUCGAUCCCCGUCGGUGGUA
rnacentral:tRNA from 2 species